AGAACGGCAGUCGGCGAGUGAGCGGAGGCGCAGAAAAACUUUCAGAUCGUCUGCAAACGAUAAUCUUGGCUCUGAGAAAUACCAAUGGUCCCAGAUGGCUACCCUGAGAUAUACCGGACUUUGCGCAGAAACUUGCUGAGCGACAAGUACCCAAAGUUACUGUCAAUUGGCGCUCCGUGAGGUAUGAACGAAACCAUCUCAAAAGAUUUCCACCGAUCCCUAGCCUAUCAAGCUUAGCGAUCGCAAUUUCGUGGUUCAGCUUAUCGAAGGCUACCGUAAGAUCUGUGUAAAUAACGUCCGUUUGGGUCCGAGCAAUCAAACUGUCUGUGAGAUGUAAGACGUUAGGCACAGCAGGUUCGUAGUUGUGGAACGCUCAGUUAUGAAUCCGUGUUGAUCUAUAUUUAGAUAUUGCUUGCAAUGCGCAUUUAGGGACUCUAUGACAACCAAUUUAAAAAGUUUUGAUACAGCACUCAGUGACGUGAUUCCCCGGUAGUUGUUAACGUCGCGUUUGCUUCUCUUUUAUGAACAGGAAACAUAUCCGCAGUCUUCCAGCAAGACGGAAAGAGAGAGCUGGAAUAUGCGGCGCAGUGGAUCUAAAAGACAAGUGAUGUUCUUUUUAAGAAUAAUCGACGGAACAUCAUCGGGUCCAGCCUUAGCUGAAGUCUUAAGUUUAGAUGCUGAACCUUUGGUUGACCAAAGGAAGUUGCUCGUCUUCAAACACACUAGCAAAUUUGGCUGAGAACAGGUCUUGUUGAUUGCCAGCAGUUUCACCAUUAAAAAUCAUGAAAGAGGGUAAGCCGACUUCCCUGCGUUGCUCAUUUACGAAGUUCCAGAAGGAUUUCGGGUGCGAUUUUAGCCGCCGUUGAAUCCCCCUUUGAUAACGUUGAAAACAGAGACGACUUAACCGCUUAUACUCGUGGUUGAGGUCUGACAUAGUAGCAUUUCAGCGGCAGUGUGCGGAGUUUAGUAAAUCUUCUGAGAGCAGCCUUCUUAAUUCUUUUCAACGAGCGAAGAUCUUUCGUCAUCCACGGGACGCGAGAGUCAAUGACAUAUGCCAAGUCGUGAGAAAAGGUUUGUGCAGCAAUGUUGACGUCUACAGGAUCUAGAAUAUGCUCCCAAUCUAGGUUAGACCGCACAUGGACAAUACUGCGAUGGUCAGCUCGACGGAAGUCAAAUGACACAGCGUUUGGAGUGCUGGUGAAAUCAUGGACAAUAUUAUUUUCGAUCACGAUAACUUAUGCAGGGUGAUGAUGCACUUCCUUCAAUAGUGCGGUUGUUUUCAUUCAACAGGCCAUUGAUUUGUGACAGAAUUGCGGUACUAUACCUUUCCAGGAGCUGGAUGGUUUCUACGUGGAAAGAUGAACGCUCGUGAUCAGGACAAAAGCAACCACUAUGGGUUGGAGUCCAAGCAAUGCCCGGUAGGUUAAAAUCGCCAAGAACAAUAACUUCGUCGGAAGGGCCUGCUUUGUCAGAAGCGACCAAGACGGAUCGACAAUGUGCUAAUUUCACGAGGCGACAGUGAGUGUCUCUCUAUUAUUUUCCUGUGAGUAGCAUUCAUUCAUUGGCAGUUUGGGGUUACAGAGUAACGCAAGCAUCGGCAUAAAGGGCCUGAACAUCGGUAACUUUUAACAUGAAGGUUGACACGGGGCGAUGUUCGGUUUCUAUAGGUAAGAAGGAUGGAAACAAGUCGACUCUUUCGUUCUCUCGGUUUCGUAUGCAGCAACAGACGUGACGUAACGUCUGUUGCUAUAUGAGGGGGUUAGAAAGAGGGGGAUGUAAGUGACUUUGAUCGAUUCUCUUCAUCGACUUUCUCUUUCGUUAAUAAUUCAGCUGCAAACACAUUCCUUGAUUCGUGUGCCAUUCAGGAUGCUAGAUGAGAACCUUCUAUAUCAAACUAUGUAGGAGAAAUUGCGCAAAAUCUGUUUAUAAAGCUGUGGCUAUCAAAAGAGAAAGUCGAUUAAGAGAAUCGUUCAAAGUCACUUACACCCCUUUCCUUCUAACAACCUCAUAUUAGAACACCAUGAGAAUGAAAGAGUCGACUAGUUUCCUUGCACCUCACCUGUAGAUAGCGCACAUAUUGCUCGGUAGUUCAUCUGAUACAUAUAUCAAUUUUAAUUGCCAUAGCUUUGUCCUACAACUCUGGCUACAAAACAGGCUCUGUGACUCUUUACUCCUACAGCAAAAUCACAUAAGCUAAUGUCAGUCUGUUUGUGGAACACGGUAAACUGUUCCUUUCUUUUUCACUCCACCGAAAGGACCGAUGCCGUCAACGCGAAUACAUAGGGGGAGGAGGGGCAUAGUGAGCAACCCACAGUUUGGCUCUGGAUCUCCAGCUGCAUGAAACAAAUCAACUGGUAGUAGGUUCAAUAUCAUUAUGAUAUUGAUUCUCAGUAGCCCAGGAAGCUGCCGGAAGUCCGCUUUGACGUAAGUCUUAUCAUCCAUGAUGAGACAAUGUGGCUUCGUCAGCAUAUGAGUGCACAGUUUCCGGGCCCGUGACUUUCCCACUGUAUUUGGCCGUUCGUCACGAUUUGGAGCCUUCUGCACUUUGUACGUAUGCAGUCCCUCCAGGUAAUUGGCUCUCUGAACGAAAGACUUUUUGGCCACAUCCCUGACCGAAGCAUUGGGAUUCCGCUUAAACGCUUUCACGACACGUUUGUGAUCCUGAUCACUCAUACAACAUCCAUUCUGACCGCAUUUCUCCUUCCGUUCGAUGCUCAGAGCUUCGUAGUAACGUUUAAUCACACGACUCACCGUUGACUGCACGAUUCGGAGCUGUUUUCCGAUGUCCCGAUGAGGGGGGAGGAUUUUCCAGGUGCUUGCGCAAAAUCAAUUCGCGAUGUUGCUUUUCGGGUGAUGCAAUUUUUUUUAACUCCGGAGAACUUUGAGAUUUGGGCGUAAUUGUUUUUUGUAAACAAACACGUCUAUCGCCAAUUUCUCGUAAAUUGAAACUCAAUCUUGCGAAUAAAAUAUACCAAAUGAUAGAGAAAUCAUUUAUCCACCUGUUUGUGCUGUUGUUUUUUUUAGAUUAAGCUUUAAUUUGCGAGAAAUCGGCGAUUGUCGUGUUUGUUUACAAAAGCAAUAACGCCAUAAUCUCAAAGUUUUCCGGAACUUUCGAAAAACUGACAGCGAUAAAAAAUACAGUGUAAACAAUACACUCUAAACUACUUCUACGCAAAUUUUCAAGAGAAAAUAUCCAAUGGUUUAUUUUCUAUAGCGUUUUUUUCGUGAUGCAAUUUGAUGUGGGACACCCUUUAGGUGAAGCCCUUUAAUUUUCAGAAGAAUUCAGAGAAGAAGAUGUGCAAAAUGUUAUGACAUUCCAUUCUAAGGAGAAUUCAAGCGAGUUUUAUGUAUAAUCAUGAAAGGAAGCUAAAGCAACUUCUUGGGAGAAUCUUAAAAAAUUCAAAAAGAUUCUUGUAGAGAGUUUUGGGACUGUUUUAAAGAAAAUUACAAGGGAAUAUCAGAAAGAAUCUCAUGUUUAUUUUAGGAGAGUUCUGAAGUAAGGGGAAUCAACAUCAGCAACUUACAAAGAGCUAAAACACAGACAAAUGUUGAAGAUUUCAGGCGCAGAAAAUCCAGGAAUAAUGCUCCUGUUGUAGUCAUGACCAGUGGUGGCAAUUGUACUGCAAAACCAUCCUCCAGUGCGAAUCAAAACAGCCAGCACACGGCGGAGAUAGAGAAUAAGACAAAAGUCGCAGCCCAUUCUUUUUCAAACAGUUAAUUGUAAUUCAAUUUCCCAUGCAAUAGACAUCAAAUAAAUGCAGUACCCAAGUAACCAAAAGUUCUGAUAAAAGGCUAUUAGUGGCUUAAGUAGCUUGGUUGAAGGUGGUCUAUAGAAUUCUAAGCAGCCUCAUUUUUAAGUCAUUUUAAGAACUUUAAAGUUCCGGCACCACAAUUGAAGAGCAUUCUAAGCAGCUUCUGGCGGAACUUGAACGGAACUUUUAGAAAAUAAGUUAAAAAGGCUUUUAUCCUCUACACCGAUUUUAUAUUGUCGCACUUUUAUGAAAGUUAAUUCUAAAGUCAGGUCUUCAUCAAAGUUAUUUCUAAAGGCAGGUAUGAACGUGUAUUGAUUUAUCAGCAUUAGUAGUAGUAUUGGAACUGAUUGAAGAAUUAAACCUAGUCCUUUUACGGGAGAGUCUCAGCACGAGAAGCUACGUCAUCUGAGAUAUAUUAAAAUGAGCUGUUGUCCCGCCUACUGUUGGAGUUUUCAGUGCCAGCUGACUGACUGAAUACGAAACACAACACCUUGAUGAAUUUUAAAUUGGUGUAAACUUGUAGCGGAGUGGUUAGCGUUCGUAGAUCGAAUGCCGAAUACACGGGUUCGAAUCCAGGAAAUUAACAUUUAAUUUUUUUAUGUUUUAGGUAGAAUGUUCUUGUACUCCAUAAAUAUAAGAAUUAUGAUUUAUUCAGGCCACUGAUCAUUUCAUAUUUACGUACAUUCAAUUUUGUUUCUAAUAAAUACUUGUGCGGAUUGUCUUAUGUGGCUUGAAAGUUCUGUCGGAACUUUAUUUGAAGUUUAUAGAACUUGAAAGUUCUGUCGGAACUUUAUUUGAACUUUAUGGGACUUGAAAGUUCUGUCGGAACUUUAUUCGAACUUUAUGGAACUUGGAAGUGAUUUUAAUCGUUGAAUGCGGAACUUUUGGUUACUUGGGUAACUAACAAGAAACCAACAGCAUUCUACAUGACAUAAAUUCAGGGUUCGAAAUUUUCGCCUACUUGAGAAGAGAAACGUCAUUUUUCACCUGCUAGGGAAAUAGAUGACAAUGUGAGAAGCGAGAGAAUAUUAUACGCUCACAGUAGUUUUCGCGAGAAAAGCAACAGCGAUUUAUUUUUUUCGGAGAGCAUGAGCGGCUGAUAAAUCGUUUCAUUUUCAGUGAAUUCUUGAUGGCGAUAAUGAUUUUUCACUUCUUUCAUACACCUGAAAAUUCACUUUCCGCACGCAUACGAUGAUCCGAAAUUAAGAACCAAAACAACGGUUAGGGCAAAUCCAUAAAUUACGUAGAAUCUGAGGAGUAAUGGAGAGGGGGUUUCAACAUUUGUAACGGACCAUGCAUAAGGUGUAGAAAAAACGCCACGAAGGGGGAGAAGGUCUAAAAUUGGUAAGAAAAUUGAAUCGUCAUUUAUGGAUGACCCUUAUGAUUUGACAGAAGGUAUAAAAAGGAAAUAAUAAAAAAAAUCUGCCGGACUGGUUGAAACCAAUGCAAUGCAAACAGGUGAGGCUACGUGAAAUCGUUAUCCCUUUCGUUCUGCCGCUGUUUAAAUGGAUAACACAGUAUGAUGUCACACUCCGUCAACCAUUUAAUAAGCGGAAGAACAAAAGAGACGGCAAAUUUCCAAGCCUCAACUUUUAACAUCACAUUGGGUUGGAGCCGAACAAUUUGGGGUGGUAUUUUUUUCGCUCUUAGUAGUUUUCAGAGCCAAAUGGGUGAUGAAAAAGUAUUUUCGUUGCGUUUUGAAGAGAGAUAUUUUCGGAUUAUGUAUGAGAGAGGAUAAUGAAUUAUCGGUGAAAAAAGACACAACUCACAACUUACCGAAAAGUAGCUUGAGUGAGGAAAUGCUUACCGUGCAGUUGAGUGAGAAUUUCUAUCUCUGCAUAAAUUUAUGUCGCGCGAUCACCGGCGCGUUUUUGUUUGCUUGUUUGUGCGAAAAUAUUCUGUCGCUGACAGAAAACUCAUUUAAUCAAGUGACCUCUCCGAUGUAUCUACAAUAAUCGGGAAAAUUGCCAAAAUUUCGGGAAUAAAACAAAAAAAAAAAACCCCGGAAAAUUGAUAAUCGGCAUUUGCUGACGAGAAAAUCGCUUGCGAAACGUGCUUGCAAAAAUCUCCACAGUGAAAAACUGAUGCAAUUUCGCGUCUCAUCGCAAUUGGGUUUAUUCCUAUGUUUUUGGUCAACCAAAGCUCCACCCCUCGUGGCGAAAGCUCGAACUAUUAAACUGCGAGCUUGCAGAGAUUUUUUAAAAAACUUGUAUUUUUCGAACUAAGUAUUUUUUCUCCCUGGCGUGAAUUGAGUAGAGAUGUUAUUUUCCUCUCACGUGCUGCACACAGUGUUGAUUUAAUAACAGUCUCUCCUGCCUGUACUCAAUCGGAUUCACAGAGCAACCGUACGUCGAUUGAAAGAGGUAAUACGGAGGAGAGAAAGCUUGUAUGUGCUCCUCAAUUUGCUUUCUCAUUGCGAAGUACCUACAGUGAAUUGUUGUUCAGUCUCAACUCAAACUGCUAGCUAACAUUGUUCACUUGGCCAUAUUCUCAAGGCGGACGAACCAGAGAAAUGCAAAAGCAGAUAAGAGAAAAGGUCUCGCUGACUUGGAUGAUUAUCGGGAUUGUUUUUUGAUUAUUAUUAUUAUUUCAACACUGCUUCUAAAUGUAUUAUUUAACUUGGACUCAAAAACAAAAUCUUCAAUAAAUAUUAAUUCAUCCGCAGUGGCAGUUUAAUAAAUUAUACACAGCAAAAUCUUAAGGUAAAGGUUCCUUUGCUACGACUGGGUAGUAGUUUUAUAAAUUCGGGUCUGUUGUGGAAUCCAAACAUUAAUUUAUUUUUUUUUUGUUUUAACUUGCAUUAGGAGUAUGUGGAUUUCACGGUAUUUUCCGCAUGUCGUUCAAAAUGUUGACUGUCUUUUUAGUUUAAUACAUGCCAUCACUAAUAACGGUAAACUCCAAUCGGUAUUGAUUUUCAAAUGGAAUUGAUCCGAUUAAAAUACCAGUUGGGGCUUACCGCCGUAAGACUUAAAUGCCAAUCCCAUCUUCAGUGAUUGUGUAAGAAUUAUACACAACUACAUAACGAAUACAGGAAUAAGAAUCAUUGCAACAUAAAAUCGAAAUAGCGUCAAUCAAGUUGUACUAGAGUGAAUUAAAGCCAUACAAAUCAAAUCAUAAGUAGUUAAUUAGCCAAAAUAAUGAAAUUCGAAUCCAAAUGACUCUUGUUCCUUAUGAAAUCCAACAAUCGAACCACAUUUACAUACCCAUCAGGGUGGACUACGAGAUAAGCUCACAUUAUUCCAGUCUUCAAGCGGUGAAAUUUGGAAAACGAUUCAGUUUUUUUUCUGUAAGAUCUAGACAGUUGGCUUGAAAACUAUGGAAUCUGAAAAAAGAGAGCUAAUUUUCAGUCUCCCCCAAAGUACUCAUUCGACAAUGACAAUACACACUGAAACGAAAAGCAUGACAAAAGUGAGCGAAGCAGUGAAUGAUCGCGCAUGCAAGUGUUUUCCGUCGAGAGUUGUGUGCAUGUCCUUUAAACGUAUGUGUAUAUCUAAAAUUAUCAUUCCAUAGAGUGUAAACUUUUGGAAUAAGUGCGCGGUAUAUUAGUGCAAAGCCUCGCGUAGGCUUCUUCUAGCAUAAAGGAGAAUUAAGCAAACAAAAAACAAAACGCAAGAACGAAAAAUGAUGCAAAAUCAACUUCCGAGAGCAUAAACAUUGUAAGCGAACUAUUGUCUAAAAUGAAUUACAAACAGCAAACCAGAGAGACUUAUACGAUUGCACAACACACGAAACAACAGAUACAAUACAAAAAAGAAAAGAACGAACAUAAGCUACAAACUCAUGAUUCCCAGAAAAAAAGCAAUUUUUAUACAUUUUUUUUGUUCAUUGAUCGUUUUUCUUUUAAACUACAAAUGGAACAAUGACUCCUGACUAUACAUACACAUACACUCGUAACUAGACUGCUAAAUUCAGCGAUGAAUAAUACAAAAGGAAUCAUGUAAGUGUUACAAAAAAAAAAUAAUGCAACAAUUGCUCAGGUACAUUAACAAAACAAAACAAAACAAACACAUACAAAACAAAAUACAAAGACUAACAAAGCGAAAAAAAACAAACUUUGCUCCCAGGUUAAAGCAAACAAAAACAAACAAAAAAUGAAAACGAAUAAUGAUCGAGGAAAAAUACGGUAACAAUUACCAAUGAAACAAUGAGAAAUUUUUCAUUCUUGCUAAAACCGAAUGAAUGCUUGUGUGUGUAUGUGUGUCCAGCACGCUAUGUGAAUGGGUGCGUGUGUGUAUUUGAGUGGUUACGGCAACGAAAUGAUUCUCGAAUCAUUUGUAGAGUAUGUUCCCCAUUGAGGGAAAAAAAAACCAGUCGUAUAUUUAUAUAGGGAAGAAUGAAACUAUCAGUUUAAAGGAAUCUGGACAAGAAACAAAAAUUUCGCCCACACUCCUAUUUAGCUAGACCGUUACUGAAUGAAAGAAUCCCACACAUAAAUUGUGCUUAAACUCUAUUAUCUUGUGACGAACUUUAGGUUGACAAAUUUUAGCGAGAAAGUGAACGACAUUUUCUCAUUAAUUUGCAACCUCAACGCACCUUGAGAAACAUUGAACCUGACGACCUUACACGGAAAAGAACCAACGGAAUCAUGAACGAAUAGGAAUACACUGAACGUAAAAAUCCACUAGACUUUAAGUAGGAAUCUAUUGAAAUUGCAAAGAACUAUAAACACUGACUUACCUAGACGCAAAUGAAUUAAGUUGAAUUAAGAAUAAAAAAAAUAUAAUGAAAACAACUGUGAUUUGAGAAAGCUUUUUUAACAGGAAAAGUAAACAUUGAUGCUAUUGGGAAUCCUGGAUGGGGGAGGGGGGGUUUGCAAAUUAGGACGAACAGUUUUAAAAAUGUAUCAUACAAGAAGGCAAAACUAUUGAAUUUUAGGCCAAACGAAUUGUCAACUUGAAACUAACAAAAACAAAACAAAACAUCAAUCGCAAUCCAAGGAUAAAGGUGUAACGAAGCGGAAAAAGCUUUCUCAAGAAAAGAAUGACUGAUUUUAAACAAACAAACAAACAAACAAACAAACAAAAAAACAAGAACAUUAACAUAAUACCAACACUUUGAAGAGCGACGACGAGAGCAGGCGGAUAACGAUAUUUGUGCGUGUGUGUGAGUGUGAGGUCGAGUGCGAGAGAUUUGCUUUUGGGUGAGCGUGUGGAUAUCAUAGAGGGUUACGAGAGGUUCCUAAAACUGUGGUAAAUACUUGGUGAAAGUUUAAGUAGACACUGACAUCAAUGUGUUAGAAAUUUCCCUUCCUCCCUUGAAACCAUCGAAUGAAUGAAUGAAUGAAUGAAUGAACUAGUAGUCGUAGUAGUAGUAAUAGUAGUAGUAGUGAUAGAAGUAUAACUUUCAACCCAAGAAUAACUCAUCCCAUCUUUGUCCGUUUGGCUUGGUGAAACCUCCAAAGCUGGGGCUAGGAAAACCAAAAAAAAAAUAUAUCACGCAACAAAAUUAUCCACUAUAUUUGAAUUUUGAUACAAUUUUAAUCGUAUAAGUAAACAAAAAAAAAAUUAGGCUAACCAGUAGUGGUGAGGGUUUCUGUGAGGGAUUUUUCGGGCGGUAAGAUACUUUGGAGGUUUCAAAGCAACUGAUUUCAUUCGAAACAUGUGCGAUGUGUGAUUUUUUUUAGAGUGAGCGGGUCUCAAACAACAUAACGGGAGAAACCAUUUCCAAACAUACCGAACAUGUAUUUCAUGGAGUUAUGGUAACGAAAAUAAAACAAUAAAUGAGACGCACUGCUUGAAAGUUGCUGGGAAAUACGACCAUACGAAUGUUAGCGCUUAAGAUGUACAGCGAGGAAUGCUUAAAAAUGACCCCUGAUGAAACCAGACACAAAGAAUUGGCCAUAAACAAGAAACAUGAAACUAUUUUGCCUGUGACACGAACAAUUUGUGAAUGCUAGUUGAUUAAGAAUACUGUGCGAGAAUGUGAUACGGAUGCCUGUAGUUGUUGUUGUUGUUGUAGUUGUUGACGAUGGCGUUGAAUGAAUUUAGCUAUUAAGAAAGACAAAACUACCAGUACUUCAGAAGUAAAAUUGCGAGUGAGCUCUUCGACUUAUUCUAACGAGAUUGUCUGCUUCCAAGAAACCGAUGAAUCUUUAAUGGGAAUAAAGUCAGGAUUUAGGAACAUUGGACAACAAACAGCAGUGUUAGUCCAGGGCACGAGUGCUGUGCGAGAAUAUGCGAGAGCGAGCUAGAGAGACCAUGUUUUUAAGUAAAUUGGUGAAUCUUAUGCGAUGCACGUGUUAUAGUAGUGUAGCGUUGUGCGAGAGACUGUGUUCGGUGCGAGUCUAAGUUGCUAAGCGAAUGUAGUAGUCUGUAAGUAAGUUUGAUGAUGAUCGUUUGUACACUUGAUGUUUGAUGACUGAAUAAAAAUUACAUGACUGCCAAAAAACC